UCCGAAUGUUGCGCGAGUGAGCAUCUUCGACACUUCAACAACUGCAUCCUUCGUCGUAUUACCAGUUCACAAUGGUGGCAAACUAUGCUGUCUUGCUGAAAUGCUGCUAUUGCCUAUUGGUUGUUGUAUUGCUGAUGGCUGGGUCGAUCAAGGGUGUACUGAUAAGUAUAGUCUACCACGCCGCCUCCUUACUAAACAACAACGUCAACACCUACUUACUCUACGAAGGCCUCUAAGUACUACACUACCAAGGCUCCUGAGUAUUUAACUGCAACCUACGCUGCUCCAUCUUAGGAAACAUGGUUAACUGUGGGUAGUGCUGCUGUUGGGUGUUGUGUCAUUGAUGGCUUGGUCGACUACUGGUGUGCCGAUGUCUCCUGGUUAUAUUGAGUACCAAACCGCAACGUCUUACUACACAGCGAAGUCCACAUACGCAACAUCUGUUACUACACCGAGGCUCCCAAGUACUACACCGAGUUAUCUGCCCCAGCCUACUUCACCGACGCGUUCAAGUACUACUCUGCUCCAAGUUACUACCAAACUGAGGCUCCUGUUUGCUACACCAAGGCCACCGAGUAUUACACUACAACCAUGCUAACUAUGGCGUUGUGCUGCUGUUCGUUGUUGUAUCCUUGAUGGUUGGGUUGACUACUGGUGUACCGAUGUCUCGGCAUGA
rnacentral:lncRNA from 1 species